CACUAUAGGGCGAAUUGGGCCCUCUAGAUGCAUGCUCGAGCGGCCGCCAGUGUGAUGGAUAUCUGCAGAAUUCGGCUUUGGCUCAGAACGAACGCUGGCGGCAGGCUUAACACAUGCAAGUCGAGCGGGCAUAGCAAUAUGUCAGCGGCAGACGGGUGAGUAACGCGUGGGAACGUACCUUUUGGUUCGGAACAACUGAGGGAAACUUCAGCUAAUACCGGAUAAGCCCUUACGGGGAAAGAUUAAUCGCCGAAAGAUCGGCCCGCGUCUGAUUAGCUAGUUGGUGAGGUAAUGGCUCACCAAGGCGACGAUCAGUAGCUGGUCUGAGAGGAUGAUCAGCCACAUUGGGACUGAGACACGGCCCAAACUCCUACGGGAGGCAGCAGUGGG
rnacentral:rRNA from 1 species